CUUAUUCUAUCCAGUCAUUUCCCCUUCCGCCCAUCAACAACCCACUUUCUACUUCCCCAGACAAAGACCUGAAGGUUGUGAUGAUUUCUGCAUGGAAUCCUGCCAAAAUAUGGUUAACCUGCUGGAUGUAGCCACUUCCUGCAUUUCUCACCAGAGAAGAUGAACAUCCUCCUACUCCUGACCACCCUCACUAGCACAGGUCCAGUCACUGGCCCCUAUUUUCUUCUUCAGUCUUGAAGAAAAGAGGUGCUCUGGCUCUGCCUGUGUCCUUAAAGCACCUAUAUACUAGGCCUUUUUUUUUUUUAAACCCUUACCUUCCACCUAAGAAUCAAUACUGUGUAUUGGUUCCAAGGCAGAAGAGAGGUAAGGGCUGUCAACAGGGGUUAAAUGACUUGCCCAGGAUCACACAGCUAGGAAGUACCAGAGGCCAAAUUUGAACCCAGGAUCUCUUGUCUCUAGACCUGGCUCUUAAUCCACUGAGCCACCCAACUGCCCUCUACACACUAAGUGUUACACACAUGAAUCAUUCUAUGCCUAUACCCUAGUUCAAACCAAUCUGGCCAGCAAGGGGAUUCUUGGGGCCUCAGUCUUGUGAUCUAUAAUAUGAAGUGACUGGGCAAGGUAGCCCAACCAGACUUGCUUCCAGCCCUAAGUCUGUGGUCUUCUAUUAGCUCAUCUACAAUGUUCCCAUCAAAUAAAUCCUGUUUCUUUAUGAUCUUCAUUCCUUACUCCAAGCUUCUCAGAAUGAACUCUGGUACUCUUUUAAAAAAAAAAAGCAAGAGAACUCCUGCCUUUCCACUCCUUGGGGGCUAGCAGACUCUUUGAGGUAAUCAAUAAAUCAACAGGCAUUUAUUAAGCUCCUACUAUGCCCCAGGUCCUGUAUUAGAUCCUGGGGAAAUAAAAUCACCCAAAUGAUUAUAUUCCAUCAAGAAAGAUAGUGGUGACCCAAAGAAAGCACUAGAUUUGAAGUCAAAAGAGCCAGGACUGAAUUCUGAUUCUCUUAUUUCCUAGCUAUGAGACCUAGGGUAAAUCAUUUCCCUUCCCUGGAUCUCAGUUUCCUCAACUAUGAAAAAUGUUUGGGAAAGGAGUGUCUAAAGUUCUUGUUGGAUGAGCAGCUAGGUAGCACUAUGGAUAGAGCUCCAGGCCUGGAAUAGGGAGGUCCUGGGUUCAAAUCUGGCCUCAGACACUUUCUGUCUGUGUAACCCUUAGACAAGUCACUUAAUCCCAAUUGUCUAGUCCUUGCCCCUCCUCUGCCUUAGAACCAAUACUAAGAGAAGGUAAGGUUUUUUUUAAAAUAAUAAAUGACAUUCUUCAGGCCUUGAUCCCACUAUUCUGCCCCCAAACCACAAAUCCCUUCAUUUUUGGUGGAGCAGCACUGCAGCACUGAGGGUCAUCCUCAGUCUUCCCUCCCAGGCCCUACUCUCCCAACCUCUAAGGUAAGAGAGUAGGAGAUUCAAGUAAUUCUUUUUGGAGCUGUCCCUCCCAUAUUGUCUGUGUUCUCCCUGACCUCUACCCCACCUCUAGGUUGAUGGCAGUGUUCUCCUGAGCAUGUUGGAGUUUCAGGUCCUGUGGAAGAAGAUUCAAAAGUGGCGGGCAUCAAGCUAAAUGAUCAGUUACUCCAGGUGGGAGUGUCCUGCUAUUCCAAUGAGAAAAUGGGUGUCACUUUUAACAUAUUGGUCUGCUGCUUUGUCAAACUGGAGGCCAUGUACGGAUUUUUCAACAACAUGGAUACUAAAGGAACCAGAAAAGCUGUCAAGGACCUACCCCAGGUAUAGGUAUUGAGUUGGGAAGCAGAUUGGGGGGAAAGCCUUCCUUCUAGGUGGGGGCAACUUCAGGGCUUCACCUCUUGAUUGACCAUCUUUCUUCUCAUAGUGGAUGGUAUUGACCAUGGUUGGGUAGAGAAGCCCCCAGGAGUAUCCUGACUCCCAAAGUAGCAAAAGUGAGGGCCCAGCUAGAAAUGGAAAGAGAAAACUGCCUUCUUACUAACCUCAUACCUUCUACAUGUGCAAGUUGUACAUGGAGCUGGGUUUAAGGAAGAGCAUUAGAUAGCUGUGUGGAGUAUCCAGAAGCUAGGGGUUUCCUGGGGAUGGAGGUCUAGACAUCUGGCUUUAUUCGGUCCUCUUGCAUUUCAGUCUUAUCCUCCUAAACCCCUGACUUAAAUAAUUUUAGAUCCUGUAUUCCACCAUAUUCUCCCACUUCCCCAGAGUCAGUUGAUUUCCUACUGUAUCUCUGUAUUCUAGAUAAGAUUAUUUUAGGAAAUAAAAGUGGGAUCCUAAUGACCCCUCUAUAGUCUCCUUCUCACACACUACCCUUCUCCUUCCCUUCUCCCCAGUAGAUUCUGCUGUUGGUGGUAGGAGGGUCCCCAGACCUUUCCAUGCCUGGGAAAAAAGGGGUACUAUAGAAUGGAAGGGGCAAUGCAGGUUUCCCAACUUCACUUAGAAGAGAUGAUUAUUUUUGAGAGUGGCCUUCAUCCUCUUCUCUAUUAAGUGCCUUUAUCAAAUGCACUAAUGGGGAAGAGAGGGCUUCCUUCCCACCUUUCAGUCUAGCCUCUAUUCUUAUAGUUAUUAGUGGUAAAGGUGGGGCUUGUGCCUUCCAGAGAUCCACCACUAUCUUGCUCCAUUGGCAGUGAGGUGACUCAGUGUAUUGAGAGCCAGGCUCAGAGAUGAGAGGUCCCAGACUCCAAUAUGGCCUCAGUAUGUGUGCCCACUUUCUGGGCAAGUUAUUUAUCCCACACUGCUAGCCCUUACCACUCUUCUGCCUUGGAGCCAAUAUACAGUAUUGAUUCUAGGAUGGAAGAUAAGGGUUUAAAAAAAAGAAUAUAUAUCCCUCCCCAGUACAUAUGUAGUCCAUCAGCAAUAUGUCUCUCCUUCCUAACCCAUACAUAAUCUGUCCUUCCUGACCCUGAUUUGGCCAGUAAACACCCCAUUCUACACAAUCUGUCUCUUUAACUGCCCCAUCUGCAUUCUCAACUCAUUACAAUAAAUAUUGCUUUCAUACCAAAAGAACCAGACUCCUGAUUCUCAACUUGUAGAGAGGGGAAGAGUUCUCUCUGGUGAUAUAUUCAUUUUAAUAGAUUACUUAAGCCCCUUGUGAUAUAUUUUUUAAUUGAUAUCUUUUGUUAUCACCUUCAUUUCCAAAUAGGCAGCUGAUAAACACACCUGCAGUUAGGAAGCCUUUAAUUCAACUCAUGAAUUGUAGCUUAAUUUCUGCCUACCUUUAUUUCCUCCUUAUAUCCUCUGUAAAAUGAAGAUAAUCAUAGCACCUAUCUCCCAGGGUUGUGAGGAUCAAAUGUGACUUGUAAGCUAUUUUGCAAACCUUCAAGAGCUAUGGUAAAUGCCAUUGUUCAAUUAUUUCAGUCAUGUCUGAUUCUUCAUGACCCCUUUGGGGUCUUCUUUUUUUUUUCAAAAUUUUUAUUUAAUUAGUCAACUUAGAAUA